rnacentral:rRNA from 1 species
UACAGAGGGUGCGAGCGUUGUUCGGAAUUAUUGGGCGUAAAGAGCGUGUAGGCGGCCAGGUAGGUCAGCUGUGAAAACUCGAGGCUCAACCUCGAGACGCCGGUUGAAACCAUUUGGCUAGAGUCCGGAAGAGGAGAGUGGAAUUCCUGGUGUAGCGGUGAAAUGCGCAGAUAUCAGGAAGAACACCAGUGGCGAAAGCGCUCUACUGGGCCAUAACUGACACCGAGGGACGAAAGCUAGGGGAGCGAAAGGG